AUGGCCUGCGCCUUCUUCUUCGACGCUGAGCCGGUCGGCGAGCUCGGCGUGCACGCGCUGGACGCGUGCGCGCUCUGCACCAAGCCGCUGGCGCAGGACAGCGACAUCUUCAUGUACAGAGGGGACACGCCCUUCUGCAGCGACGAGUGCCGCCAUGAACAAAUGCAGCUGGACGCCGCCUGCGCCAGGCAGGCAGCCAGGGCGGCCGCCCGGAGGCAGAAGCAGUUCUCUUCAGGAACGGAGGCCGGGCGUGCACGGCGGGAGUCAUGGGAGGUGUCCGUCGCGAGCUAA
rnacentral:rRNA from 1 species